ACAAGCGGUGGAGCAUGUGGUUUAAUUCGUAAGCAACGCGAAGAACCUUACCAGGUCUUGACAUCCCGAUGCUAUUCUAGAGAUAGAAAGUUACUUCGGUACAUCGGUGACAGGUGGUGCAUGGUUGUCGUCAGCUCGUGUCGUGAGAUGUUGGGUUAAGUCCCGCAACGAGCGCAACCCUUGUCACUAGUUGCCAUCAUUUGGUUGGGCACUCUAGUGAGACUGCCGGUGACAAACCGGAGGAAGGUGGGGAUGACGUCAAGUCCUCAUGGCCCUUAUGGGUAGGGCUUCACACGUCAUACAAUGGUCGGUACAGAGGGUUGCCAAGCCGCGAGGUGGAGCCAAUCCCUUAAAGCCGAUCGUAGUCCGGAUCGUAGUCUGCAACUCGACUACGUGAAGUCGGAAUCGCUAGUAAUCGCAGAUCAGCAUGCUGCGGUGAAUACGUUCCCGGGUCUU
rnacentral:rRNA from 1 species